AUUGAACGCUGGCGGAAUGCUUUACACAUGCAAGUCGAACGGUAGAGGGGGCAACCCCUCGAGAGUGGCGAACGGGUGAGUAAUAUAUCGGAGCGUGCCCAGUCGUGGGGAUAACGUAGCGAAAGUUACGCUAAUACCGCAUACGAUCUAAGGAUGAAAGCGGGGGAUCGCAAGACCUCGCGCGAUUGGAGCGGCCGAUAUCAGAUUAGGUAGUUGGUGGGGUAAAGGCUCACCAAGCCAACGAUCUGUAGCUGGUCUGAGAGGACGACCAGCCACACUGGAACUGAGACACGGUCCAGACUCCUACGGGAGGCAGCAGUGGGGAAUUUUGGACAAUGGACGCAAGUCUGAUCCAGCCAUUCCGCGUGCAGGAUGAAGGCCCUCGGGUUGUAAACUGCUUUUGUACGGAACGAAAAGGUCUCUCUUAAUACGGGGGACUCAUGACGGUACCGUAAGAAUAAGCACCGGCUAACUACGUGCCAGCCGCCGCGGUAAGAC
rnacentral:rRNA from 1 species